rnacentral:rRNA from 1 species
UACGUAGGGUGCGAGCGUUAAUCGGAAUUACUGGGCGUAAAGCGUGCGCAGGCGGUUUUGUAAGUCAGAUGUGAAAUCCCCGGGCUUAACCUGGGAAUGGCAUUUGGGACUGCAAGGCUGGAGUGCGGCAGAGGAGACUGGAAUUCCUGGUGUAGCAGUGAAAUGCGUAGAUAUCAGGAGGAACACCGAUGGCGAAGGCAGGUCUCUGGGCUGACACUGACGCUCAUGCACGAGAGCGUGGGGAGCAAACAGG